CCCGCCCCCCAAGCCUCCGCCGGAGCGUCGCUGAGUCACAUUUCUUGGGGGGAAACAACCGAGAGUCUGGGGGCACCGUCGAGACCUGCGUGUUUCUUCUGGCAUAAACUUUCGUGGACUCCAGCCCGCUCCAUCUCACGCACCAAGUCGGUGUCCACGAAAGCUUAUGCCAGAAUAUGAGUGCAAUCCUAUGCAUAUCUUGGGGGGGGGGGGGGGGGAAUGCCCUGCAACUUCCAGCAUGUCACUUGUGAGUCUUUUUUUGUGUUAAUCUUUACAGGACUCUUCCUUGGUUUUGCUGCAACAACUAACGCAGCUACUCCACUCCUCUGAAAAUUAAGCAACAGGCUUCGUUUCUGGUUCCUUGCCUUGCUCCGCGUUCCACUACAUUUUGAGUUCCAAGACAGCAAGAGAGAUAUGGUUGUGGAGAACAGGCAGAAAGAUGAGCACAAAAGGGAUGUGUGGAAACUAAAAGAUAACGUGGACAAUACUGGCCAGAGAGAUAAGAGAUUGUCCACUGCACCCUGCCCAUGUACAGAAGAAGAAGAAGAAGACACCCUCAUUCCAACUACAAUAGCAAACUGGUGUUCUGCAAAAAAACCCAUCAGACUAUCACAGUGUUGUGCAUAAACUGCUAAUAUAAA